rnacentral:rRNA from 1 species
UACGAAGGGGGCUAGCGUUGUUCGGAAUUACUGGGCGUAAAGGGCGCGUAGGCGGUUUAGCAAGUUGGAUGUGAAAGCCCAGGGCUCAACCCUGGAAUUGCAUUCAAGACUGCUUUACUUGAAUUCGGUAGAGGUGAGUGGAAUUCCCAGUGUAGAGGUGAAAUUCGUAGAGAUUGGGAAGAACACCGGUGGCGAAGGCGGCUCACUGGACCGACAUUGACGCUGAGGCGCGAAAGCGUGGGGAU